GUAGCAGCAAAAGUACAACCCCCUUCUGGAUACAACAGUGAAGUAACGAAGAAACAGAGAAGCACACUGCUGCUGAGCCAUUACAACACCGUGGAACAAAGCGUAACUCUGCCCCACUCAGCUUUGAAGGCUGCACUGUUACAGAGAUCAUCUGCUGUGUCUUUUUCUGGACAGAAGCUGGAGAGACCAGUCCCUGAGGCAGGCCAUCGUGCUUGGUAAAGUGGAGGGCAGCACAGAAGAGGAAGUACUGCCCCACAGCUGCGGCAAUGGAGCCCAA